GGGCCUGUAGCUCAGCUAGGUGGAGCACUCGACUCUUAAUCGAGGUGCCAAGGGUUCGAAUCCCUUCAGGCCCGCCA
rnacentral:tRNA from 4 species